UACGAAGGGUGCAAGCGUUACUCGGAAUUACUGGGCGUAAAGCGUGCGUAGGUGGUGAGUUAAGUCUGAUGUGAAAUCCCCGGGCUCAACCUGGGAAUGGCAUUGGAUACUGGCUCGCUAGAGUGCGGUAGAGGGUGGUGGAAUUCCCGGUGUAGCAGUGAAAUGCGUAGAGAUCGGGAGGAACAUCUGUGGCGAAGGCGGCCACCUGGACCAACACUGACACUGAGGUGCGAAAGCGUGGGGAGCAAACAGG
rnacentral:rRNA from 1 species